AUGGAUGCACCUCACUUCAAUGAGUCUUGUGGUUCACUAUAUUUAGCAAAAAACAUACGGUGGAUAAGAAAACAAAAACAAGCAAAAAACCAUGUGGUUCACUUGCCUCGUCCUCGAAGUGCGGAAGAAUUUUUAAAAUUAAAAAGAAAACAAAAAAUGUGUGUGGUUCAUUUUGAAGUGCGUUUGGUCCUUGGAUGUGAUCUAUUUUUUAGAGUGAUGUUGUUCACUUGCCCCCAACAUGAAACUGCAAAAAAAUUAGUGAAACAACAAGAUGGUAAUGUGGUACACUUUGAUAUAUAUUGCGGCUCAUUUGCCCUUGUCUUUGCGGUGCACUCUCGUCCAUAA
rnacentral:rRNA from 1 species